rfam:Bacillus cibi strain DSM 16189 Contig05, whole genome shotgun sequence.
CCCGUGCUACAACCGCUCAGAUGCAGGUAUAAAGCCUUUCGGAUCAUCCGAAACACCUGUCUGCUGGCGAGUCUGAGUCUAAUU